UCCCUUCCAUCGGCGCCCCCUACAUCACCAUCUCGGGCGACCGCAUGGACGCGUCGGCUUUGGCGAGUGGGCGCGCGAGGCACACUGAUCCAUGGGCAGCUUUGGCGUAAAGCGCCUCCGCGUGCAGAGCCACAUCGAGGGUUGUUAAGGCGUCAUCAUUGUCUUGUCGGCUCAAAGGUUAUACCGGCACUGCGGGGCUUGCUUUUUGAUUCUGUUUCCUGUCAUGGGUUGUUAAGACAGUAGUAGUUACAGAGAUUUUGCUCGUGUUGGCAGUCGGCACCCAGAGUGAGUGUUUCGUUGCAUGUGUGUCAGGGUACCUAUCCUUUUCAACCUGCAUUGGCUUAAUGAAUGUGAGCUGCUAGGAGGAUUGGUAUUGCUGAUUUGAUCAUCUUAGUUUGUUUAGAUAUGGUUGUGGAUGUACCCGGGAAGGAGUGAUUUUGACAUCUGCUGAGUAUGAGUACAUCAACUAGCUGAUUGCUUACAUUUUCUUGGUCCCUAUACCUGCUCACCUUGCAGGUCAUUACAGAGAUGAAGACGAAGACAGUUUCCAAUGUCACCACAUUUUUUCGCGGGUGCUGGAUUGCUUUCUCGGGGAACCAGGAGAGGGAGGCGAACAAGGAGAUGGUUGUCUACCUUGUCGACGCCUCGCCCAAAAUGUUCACCCCUACCACCACCCAGGUGUUUCUACUGCUGCUGCCAGCACAUCAGUCACCGGCACCACAACUCAGGCAACUUCCUCAUCUCUUCAAACAAGCCAGGAGUGUACAAUUUUACUUAGCCUGUUUCUACUACUAAUUCUUGUUUCUGAACUGGUAUUUUUUUCAUUUUAUUUGUGCAAUCCAACUACUACAUCUAUCACUCCAGCAUCAUCCCAAAUGUUUCAAAUCUGUACCCUAUAGUAGUCUAGAGUUGCACAUAUAUAUUUUAGAUCCCAGUGCCAAAAAUCUUAUUUGUCUGUGUUGUCUCCUGCAUGUUCUUAUAUCUGGAUCUUUAGAAAGCUUGGAUAUUGAUGACCUGCGGUUGAACACCAACUAUUCUGCAAGAUAUCUUCUAGUUUGUGUUGCUUCCUGGUUUUUAUCAUAGAUCCGAGAGCCCAACAAGCGCACCCGCCUCUGGCUCGGCUCCUUCGCCACUGCCGAGGAGGCCGCGCUCGCCUAUGACGAGGCCGCGCGCAGGCUCUACGGCCCCGACGCCUUCCUCAACCUGCCGCACCUCCGCGCCUCCGCCGUCUCCUCCACCGCCGCGCACCAGAGGCUUAGGUGGCUCGCUGCCUCCGCCAGGGGCGCCGCCGCCGUCCCGGCCUACGACCUGCUCAACCUCAACGCGCAGCACAACAUAUACAAUCUUUUGGCACAUGUUCCUUUGAUGGAUUUUCAAAAGGAAUCAACGUUUGAUAUGUGGAGUACUGUUGGUCUGUCUUCUAAAGGAGAAAAUGACUCUUUCAAGGUCCUUGCUUUAAUUCAUCAAAAUGUCAUUCCUUCAAUGUCAAACCCUUCCAUCUUAUGUGAUUUCUUGACUAGAUCAUAUGAUAUUGGUGGUGUUAUCAGUGUGAUGGCCUUAAGUGGUCUUUUCAUUCUUAUGACACAACACGGUCUGGAGUAUCGAAAAUUCUAUGAAAAGCUUUAUGCACUACUCACUCCUGUUGUUUUCAUGGCAAAACACCGAUCAGUAUUUUUGCAAGAUAAGCAGUUGAAGUCUCAUCCUCCAAAGAAUGUUGAAUCGGAAAUCUUGUGUGAGCAUAUCAAGAAAGAGAGGGAGGCAGCAAAGGCUGGAAAACGACCAUACUAUCUGAAGAAAUCUGAACUUCGCGAAAGGAAGCUAAUGAACAAGUACAACGAGCUCAAGAGGUGACUCACCACCAUAUUCAGCUGGCGAUCCAGAAGGAGGGUUCAUAGCAAUAUCUUGCGGUGCUGGCCGUUGGAAUACUUGAAGCGACAACCAAAGGGGAGAAAAUACAUAGCACUUAUUCUAAAGUUUGUCAAGGAUCAUAUGGGAGCUCUGCUUUUUGGUGGAGGAAGAACUUAUGAAAGUUGAGGAACAAUCAGUGGAGCUGGAGAUGGAUUAGAAGGAGAGAUGCUGUUGAAACAACAGUCAUUUCUUGAUCUCAAUCAUUCCAUCCACCUUGCCAUCCACCUGGGAAUCCAUGGUCUAACCCAGGGUCGCGGAUGAGCUCACCGAGCAGCAGGCCUGGCAGCUCAACUUCGACCUCGAUUCGGCCUACAGUGCCUUCUUGGCUGCGCUGCCCGCUGCUGGUCUGUAACCAGGCAAGGAUCUACCAGCUUGAUUUUUAUUUGGUUGGUUUGGUCUAUUAUGCUUUUGACACUGGAGCACUACUCUCCACUACUGUAAUACUAUAGAUAUCUGUAAUUUCGGUACUGCUAUUUGUUGUCAAUAAGAAAGUUUUGUUUUCCUUUGUA